GCGGGCGUGGUAUAUGGGUUGUGCCCUGGCUUCCCAAGCCAGCGAAGGCGGUUCGAGUCCGCUCGCCCGCUCCA
rnacentral:tRNA from 1 species